GACGAACGCUGGCGGCGUGCCUAAUACAUGCAAGUAGAACGCUGAAGAGAGGAGCUUGCUCUUCUUGGAUGAGUUGCGAACGGGUGAGUAACGCGUAGGUAACCUGCCUGGUAGCGGGGGAUAACUAUUGGAAACGAUAGCUAAUACCGCAUAAUAGUAGAUGUUGCAUGACAUUUGCUUAAAAGGUGCAAUUGCAUCACUACCAGAUGGACCUGCGUUGUAUUAGCUAGUUGGUGAGGUAACGGCUCACCAAGGCAACGAUACAUAGCCGACCUGAGAGGGUGAUCGGCCACACUGGGACUGAGACACGGCCCAGACUCCUACGGGAGGCAGCAGUAGGGAAUCUUCGGCAAUGGACGGAAGUCUGACCGAGCAACGCCGCGUGAGUGAAGAAGGUUUUCGGAUCGUAAAGCUCUGUUGUAAGAGAAGAACGAGUGUGAGAGUGGAAAGUUCACACUGUGACGGUAUCUUACCAGAAAGGGACGGCUAACUACGUGCCAGCAGCCGCGGUAAUACGUAGGUCCCGAGCGUUGUCCGGAUUUAUUGGGCGUAAAGCGAGCGCAGGCGGUUAGAUAAGUCUGAAGUUAAAGGCUGUGGCUUAACCAUAGUACGCUUUGGAAACUGUUUAACUUGAGUGCAAGAGGGGAGAGUGGAAUUCCAUGUGUAGCGGUGAAAUGCGUAGAUAUAUGGAGGAACACCGGUGGCGAAAGCGGCUCUCUGGCUUGUAACUGACGCUGAGGCUCGAAAGCGUGGGGAGCAAACAGG
rnacentral:rRNA from 1 species